rnacentral:lncRNA from 1 species
UGCAAAACAAUAAUUUUCAUAAGAAAAGCAAACUUGAAGCCACCCAUCUACUCUUCAAAUGUAAUCUCUAACUUAAAAGUAUGUAACCUUUUCCUAGACAUGGUACCAUAGGAACACUGGGUGAUCUGGGUAGAGGUGUGGGCAUUUAAACAAUGUAAAGAAAGGUCUGGCACCUCAUGCCUUGCCAACCUGAGAAAAUGAGCUGUGCUUGCUACAACAUAGGAAAGAUAAAUUUCAAAGAUCAGGGAAACUACCAGCAUUAAAAAUAAAAGUAUUCACAUAAAAAAGCCCCAUUUUAUUAUUUAAAUUGUUUGCAGGCUCUCUUACCGUAGUCUGAGGCACCUUAGGUCUUCCUUAGUGAUAUCAUUGAGAAUAUCAGAAAGUGUGUAAUCUUCUUCAACAAUCUGAAAGAUUCAACAUACAUUCAACAACAUAAGCAGCUUUUCAACAGUAUCAUAGGAAUCCUUUGAUUUAGAAAUUUACCUUUUCUAUUGUAUUUGCAUCCACUCCUUGUAGCUGCAACCAGUCUAUAAGCUCUCUGUUGGUUCCCAGUCCGUCAUGGGGUAGUGGGUUCUCUGUUCCACCUAUAAAGAUUCCAAUUUUGUUUUAUUGUAUAGUAAUGUAUAACCAUAAAAUGCUUCAAAAAUAACAAAGUGGAUGUAAUCAUGUAUCCAAACAGAAAUGUAAAUGUGCUGUGAAAAGGAAAUGAAUUAAACUUGUUUGACCCGCAAAAAAAAAGAAAAAUCAUAAGAA